ACAAACUUGGUCAUUUAGAGGAAGUAAAAGUCGUAACAAGGUUUCCGUAGGUGAACCUGCGGAAGGAUCAUCAAAGAAAAAAAAUAAAUUGUGAAAUUUUUCACAAUUAUUAUUAAUUUUUUUUCUUUUUUUUCUAUUAUGGAAAAAAGAAAAAAGAUAACUUGUUAUUUUUUUCUCUCUGUUUUUGUCUUGUUUGGUGAUAAUUUUAUUAUUAUUACCCAAGACCUCUUUCCCCUUAAUGUAUUGUGCAUUAAGGGGAAUGUCAUUAACUUUCAAAUGAUAAUUUUUCCUUGUCUGAAAAAAAAAAUUUAUUAUAUAUAUAAAUUAACAACUUUUAACAAUGGAUCUCUUGGUUCUCGCAUCGAUGAAGAACGCAGC
rnacentral:misc_RNA from 1 species